rnacentral:rRNA from 1 species
UACGGGGGGGGGCAAGCGUUGUUCGGAAUUACUGGGCGUAAAGGGCUCGUAGGCGGCCAACUAAGUCGGAUGUGAAAUCCCCAGGCUUAACCUGGGAACUGCGUCGGAUACUGGAUGGCUUGAAUUCGGGAGAGGGAUGCAGAAUUCCAGGUGUAGCGGUGAAAUGCGUAGAUAUCUGGAGGAAUACCGGUGGCGAAGGCGGCAUCCUGGACCGACAUUGACGCUGAACGGCAAGAAGCAGGGGAGCGAAACGGGAUUAGAAACCCCA